GGGUAGGGGAGCGUUCUGUAAGCCUGUGAAGGUGUACUGUGAGGUAUGCUGGAGGUAUCAGAAGUGCGAAUGCUGACAUAAGUAACGAUAAAGCGGGUGAAAAGCCCGCUCGCCGGAAGACCAAGGGUUCCUGUCCAACGUUAAUCGGGGCAGGGUGAGUCGACCCCUAAGGCGAGGCCGAAAGGCGUAGUCGAUGGGAAACAGGUUAAUAUUCCUGUACUUGGUGUUACUGCGAAGGGGGGACGGAGAAGGCUAUGUUGGCCGGGCGACGGUUGUCCCGGUUUAAGCGUGUAGGCUGGUUUUCCAGGCAAAUCCGGAAAA
rnacentral:rRNA from 1 species